rnacentral:rRNA from 1 species
AGCAGCCGCGGUAAUUCCAGCUCCAAUAGCGUAUAUUAAAGUUGUUGCAGUUAAAAAGCUCGUAGUUGAAUUUCGAGACCGGUUUACUGGUCGUGCUUUUGUACGUACUGGUAUUAUUGGUUUCUCCUUUCUGACGAAUCAUAAUGCCAUUAAUUUGGUGUUUUGGGGAAUCAGGACUGUUACUUUGAAAAAAUUAGAGUGUUUAAAGCAGGCUCACGCUUGAAUACAUUAGCAUGGAAUGACGAAAUAGGACGUUUGAUUUUAUUUUGUUGGUUUCUAGGAUCGACGUAAUGAUUAAUAGGGAUAGUUGGGGGCAUUAGUAUUCAAUUGUCAGAGGUGAAAUUCUUGGAUUUAUUGAAGACUAACUACUGCGAAAGCAUUUGCCAAGGAUGUUUUCAUUAAUCAAGAACGAAAGUUAGGGGAUCGAAGACGAUCAGAUACCGUCGUAGUCUUAACCAUAAACUAUGCCGACUAGGGAUCGGAUGAUGUUAAUUUUUAAUGACUCAUUCGGCGCCUUACG